UCUAAAAGAACAAAUAUCUCGUCCAUAACAAUGUAAAAAGAUAAAUAUAUUUAUCUACCACUUCACCUACUCUCCACCCCUACCUCCUGCCUAUACGCAAUAAAGCCCUAUCCUUUCUAUGUGAAAGCCUUAUAAUGAUUUCUUCCAAAUUCCACUCUCAAAGUCUACAAUGUCAAUGGAUACUAUCUAAAUGGUAUGAAGAUUCGUAAAUAAGAUAACAAGUCAUGUCUACUUGAACAAGUUUGAUUAUUUUUUCGUGUUGAUUAUUUUAUCGUGGGUUCAAAACUAGAAAUUUCAUUCUCAACAAUCAGUGUUCAACGAAUAAAACUAGAACUUUUAUUCCCAGAAAAUUGAUUGUUGAGAAUGAGAUUCUUCGAAUGUUAUUUUACUUAAUACUAAUUUCUUUGACAUGAGGUAUAUAACUUGAAGUAUUAGGGUUGGUGUUAAAAAUAGUGGCUAGGGAUUGAUAUUCAAAUAGGCCUUUGAGGGGAAGGAAUGCUCUAUUAAUGAAUGCCUUUCUCAAAACCCUAUCUCGAAUCAAUAAUCUUGAGGUUCAAUUUCUUUACGUAUUGCUUUGAAGAUACUUCGAUAGAGCUUCUUCCCAGAAAUUUACUUACAAAUUAAGUAUUGCGGAUAUCUUGUCUUAAAUUUAACCAGAUCUUAUGUUAGAGAGUUGAGCAGACACAACUAAUAAGGUCCUUUGACAAAGAGACAGAGGGAUACAAGGAAUUGGCAAGAAUAUCUUACUCUAAAGGAGGAAACUAAGGCUAAUGAAGGUUAUGUGAAUCAUGAAAAUAUAUAGAUGAUUAAUCGUGAGUUAUUUUCUUUGUUAAAUAUUACUUGGUAUGGAUGUAUACAUUUGGUGACUCUUUCAUUAUUGUAUAGUCUCUUUUAGCAUUGAACCUAGCUUAGCAAAUAUCAUUACCAAAACUUGCUAAAUUGAUAGAAAUAGAAUAUGUGAAAAAGAUAGAUAGAUAUUGACAUGAUUUCGCACUUAGAAUUUCAUUGUCAGGAUGUAUCUCAAAGAUGUUUUAUUAAGAUGUACUUAUGUUUUAUCCAUUCUAGGUGCCACAGUGAGAUAACAAUGAGGCAUUUUGAGCUUAUAGAAGCGUUUGUAUGGAGUUUAUAAGUUUGAUGUCAUUAAAUGUAGUCCUUUUAUUUUCUUAAGAUUUUAUUCUGUGUUUGUUUUUCCUUUAAUAGGUUUUUCUUUUUUUUUUGUUGGUGAACUUCCCCUAUAAGUUAAUUAUGGUGUUUAAUGAUAUCAAUUUGUAACAUUGUUCUUCCUGUUGAACUUGUUUUAUUUAAUUGUGUAGAACCAGGGACAGCUUUGACUGACAUCUUUUUAAGAUAUUUAUGUUGUGACAUAACUGUUGCUUCAAGUGAUUAAAAUUCAUCUCCAUGCAAAGAGAAGGUCUAUAAGGAGGAGAGAAAAAUCUAGGAUUUACUGUAUCACCUAUAAUUGUGAAAGUAGCUGCCUCCAGGGAAAUAACCAUUACAUGGAAGGACUCAUUAUUAGGAGAUACAGUUAAGUCUUUCUAUAUCUAAGUAGAUUUAAACAUAUUUUCUCUAAGAGGCCAAGAUUCAGAUUCAAGAAAGUCAAUUGAGGUGUAUAUAGUUAUCAAGCACAAUGGCUCGUGAUAAUUAUUAUUUUUGCUUCCCUUUCCAUGUUUGCAAGCAAUAAUUAUUAAUUCGCAGUUUUCAUAUGAAUAUAGAUAGAAAAUGAAUAUGUUACUGAAUUGUAAACUCAGGCAGGGAACAAGUUAUUGAAUCAAAAUAAAUGUCGCCAUGAAGAAGCACAGUGUUGAUAAGCGAUUUUCUGCCCUGGUGUUGAUGAUACCAUAGGAGUUUUGGCUAGAGGAAGGUAUUAUAGAAAAGAGAGUGUGGCUGCAGUCACUCUAGGGAUGGGCAUUAAUGCUGCUUAUAUAGAAUCAGCACAAUCAGUUGUAAAAUGGCCUGAUCAAAUUCCAAAACCAAAAGAAAUAGUAAAUUCUGGUGACAACAUUUCUAAGUAUACCAACUUAUAAAAUGUUACAAUAUUUCAUUAUACUGCUUGGUUCUGCAGGCAAUUAAUAUCCAAUGGGGUAAUUUUAGAUCCUCCCUUUUUCCAAUUAUCGAGUUUGAUACAACAUUAAUUGUUGACAGUUCAUAUCCUAGUAGCCAGGUGGAUACUUAACUUUUUUGCCUCCUCAGGUUCUGUGAUCUGGUUGAACUAUGUACAUUAACUCCUUGAUCUUAUUUUGUCUUCAGAUAUUUGAGAAGCUUAUUUCAGGUACCUAUCUAGGAGAAACUGUUAGAAGAGUCUUAUUAAAGAUGGCUCAAGAAUCAGCUUUAUUUGGAGAUACUGUACCAGCUAAGCUAGCAAUUUCAUACUCGUUGAGGUAACAUAGAUUUUUUCUUUUCACUAGCUUUUUUUGAUUUUACACAAAAAGGAUCAGGUCCUCUCCAUUUAGGUUCAAAAUACUUUAAAGUCUAUCUUGUGUAGAUAGUUAUCUGCAAAAUUGGUGAAUCAGUUAAAACUCGACAAUAUAAGUUAAGAUUGUGGCUGUCUAAUUUGUCUAACAUGAACAAAAAAUAACUUCUUGAGUUCUGUUGUUGAUCUAUCUUGAACCUAAUUCAACAGUGCUUAUAUCAUUAAUUGUUGACAGUUCAUAUCCUAGUAGCCAGGUGGAUACUUAACUUUUUUGCCUCCUCAGGUUCUGUGAUCUGGAUGAACUAUGUACAUUAACUCCUUGAUCUUAUUUUGUCUUCAGAUAUUUGAGAAGCUUAUUUCAGGUACCUAUCUAGGAGAAACUGUUAGAAGAGUCUUAUUAAAGAUGGCUCAAGAAUCAGCUUUUUUUGGAGAUACUGUACCAGCUAAGCUAGCAAUUUCAUACUCGUUGAGGUUCAAGACUGUUAUGAACUUUCUGCUAAAUACGAAGGAAAGCAUGACCCACAGAAGUUGGAAUAGCUAGGGAGUAUGCUUACCAUUUUAGAUGCUGGGAAUUCCAUCAUAGUCACUAAAGCCUUUUCUAACAUGCUUAACUUGGCAAACCUUGCCGAAGAGGUUCAGAUAGCUUACAGACAAAGAAGUAAGCUAAAAAAGCGUGAUUUUUCGGAUGAGGCUUCUACAUCAACUGAAUUAGACAUUAAAUAAACCCUUAGGAAGCUCAUCGAUAAGCUAAACAAAUCACCAGAAGAAGUGUUUAAUGCUUUGAAGAAUGAUUUGGUGCUAACAAUAUAUCCUACUUAAUCUAUUCGUAGGUCUUUGCUUCAAAAGCAUGCAAGGUAAAUUACGAUUGCUGAAGUUAACUGAAAUGAGUGUUGAAUAGCAGUAUACCGUACUCAAUCUGUUUGUGGGGCUGUGCUGGCACAAGCUGCAUACUUUGUGCAGGUUACCUAACUAUAACUCUAUUUUUGAAGAUGUAAAAAGAAGAGGAAAGGAAAGGAGAAUCACUGUUUGUUCAGUUCAUCUAUAUUUUCACCUAGAGAGCAGCUUUUUUUUCUCCCUAGUUUACUUAUUCUUAACUGGACAAGAUUAGAUUCUGAUUUCCCACUUACUGUCUAGGAUUCGUUAUUGUCUGAUGCAGUUGUAUGCUUAAUAUAUUACUCCUGAUGAUAAGCAGGAGCUAGACGAGGUUCUACAAAGAGAGGUAUGAGGUUCAUAGGGUGGUUUUAUUGUCGCCUUCCUCUCUUUUCUGUCAUGCCAAUUCUCCCCUUUUCAUUAAGGGUAUAAUUUUAAGUUUUAAGAAAGGAUUAAAUUUUAUUUGGUAUAUGAAGUCGUUGUACAGAAAUAUUGUUUAGUGAACUUGUUCUAAGCUAAAAAGGAUGUAAGGAAAAACUUUCAAGAACACUGCUUUAGUAAAUCUCGGUUGGUUGUAGAGUGUUCUCUUAGUGCUUUUCACUCCCUUGGUCUAUAAAUACUGAUAUUGGGGCAUCUCCCUUUAUAUU